ensembl:miRNA MIR575 microRNA 575
AAUUCAGCCCUGCCACUGGCUUAUGUCAUGACCUUGGGCUACUCAGGCUGUCUGUACAAUGAGCCAGUUGGACAGGAGCAGUGCCACUCAACUC